rnacentral:lncRNA from 10 species
UCAGCUGGGCUUCUUGUCAAGAAGAUCCUGACAACUGUGAAAACACUUUUUUCGUGACUUUGAGUCAAUUCAAGAAGAGAAUUCCUAGUGUGUCCGGAAUUGGUGGGUUCUUGGUCUCACUGACUUCAAGAAUGAAGCCGCGGACCCUCGCGGUGAGUGUUACAGCUCUUAAGGUGGCGCGUCUGGAGUUUGUUGCUUCUGAUGUUCAGAUGUGUUCGGAGUUUCUUCCUUCUGGUGGGUUUGUGGUCUCGCUGGAUCAGGAGUGAAGCUGCAGACCUUCGCGGUGAGUGUUACAGCUCUUAAGGCAGAGUGUCUGGAGUUGUUCGUUCCUCCUGGUGGGCUCGUGGUCUCGCGGGGCUCAGGAGUGAAGCUGCAGAUCUUUGUAGUGAGUGUUACAGCUCAUAAAAGCAGCGUGGACACAAAGAGUGAGCACUGGCAAGAUUUAUUGCAAAGAGCGAAAGAACAAAGCUUCCACAGUGUGGAAGGGGACCCGAGCGGGUUGCCACUGCUGGCUCAGGCAGCCUGCUUUUAUUCUCUUAUCUGGCCCCACCCACGUCCUGAUUGGUAGAGCCAAGUGGUCUGUUUUGACAGGGCGCUGAUUGGUGCGUUUACAUUCCCUGAGCUAGACACAAAGGUUCUCCAUGUCCCCAUCAGAUUAGUUAGAUACAGAGUAUCGACACAAAGGUUCUCCAAGGCCCCACCAGAGUAGCUAGAUA